GCUGGCGGCGUGCUUAAUACAUGCAAGUCAAGGAGAAAGGGAGACUUCGGUUUUCCGAGUAAACUGGCGGACGGGUGAGUAACGCGUAGGCAACCUGCCCUUGUGACCGGCAUAACAUCGAGAAAUUGGUGCUAAUACCGGAUAAUAUCUUGUAUGCGCCUGUAUAUGAGAUCAAAGGUGCUUUUGUAGUGCAUAGGGAUGGGCCUGCGUUCCAUUAGCUAGUUGGGUAGGUAACGGCUACCCAAGGCGACGAUGGAUAGCUGAUCUGAGAGGGUGAUCAGCCACACUGGGACUGAGAUACGGCCCAGACUCCUACGGGAGGCAGCAGUAAGGAAUAUUGCGCAAUGGAGGCAACUCUGACGCAGCAACGCCGCGUGGGGGAUGAAGCACUAUGGUGUGUAAACCCCUGUAGGUAGGGACGAACGGCACAUAUUCGUAAGGGUAUGUGUGUGACGGUACCUUCAAAGUAAGCACCGGCUAACUCCGUG
rnacentral:rRNA from 1 species